rnacentral:tRNA from 1 species
GCCCGGGUGGCGGAAUGGCAGACGCUAGGGACUUAAAAUCCCUUUUCCGUAAGGAAGUGUGGGUUCGAGCCCCACCCCGGGCACCA